GCACGUUUCAGAAAAUUUAGAACACGAGGUGCCACCACGAGUUUUCAAGACUCGACAUGGAUAAAUUCCCAGCGGUAAUUCAUUUAACAAUGAUAAUUAUGAGAUGACUUCGAUCAAAUAAAUGAUCACUGACUUCGUACAAAGCAUCUUUUGGCCAUCUCCAGAACCAGUUCAUGGUGCAACCGGAUAUAAGACCAGGGAAUUUCAAUGCUCGUGAUCUGAACUUCUCACCAACCUGCAAUUCAUAUACGAAUACACUUUUUAUCAAACACACAAAUGAUUAAAUCACUCACUGGUGAAAAACACAAGGUCACAUGUAACUGAUCUCUCGCACGUGACAGGAAAUAAUCGUAAAGAUUAUCCGGAGUGGGUGGUCGCCUUGGAUCAUCCUUCUUCAUCAUAG